rnacentral:rRNA from 1 species
UAGGGAAUCUUCCACAAUGGGCGAAAGCCUGAUGGAGCAACGCCGCGUGUGUGAUGAAGGGUUUCGGCUCGUAAAACACUGCUGUAAGAGAAGAAUGACAUUGAGAGUAACUGUUCAAUGUGUGACGGUAUCUUACCAGAAAGGAACGGCUAAAUACGCGCCAG